AACUUUUAUAGGAUAGUAGUAAUCCAUUGGUCUUAGGAACCAAAAACUUGGUGCAACUCCAAAUAAAAGUAA
rnacentral:tRNA from 1 species